UACGUAGGGGGCAAGCGUUGUCCGGAUUUAUUGGGCGUAAAGAGCUCGUAGGCGGUUCCGUAAGUCGGAUGUGAAAACUCAGGGCUCAACCCGGAGACGCCAUCUGAUACUGCGGUGACUGGAGUCUGGUAGGGGAUCACGGAAUACCUGGUGUAGCGGUGAAAUGCGCAGAUAUCAGGUGGAACACCGAUGGCGAAGGCAGUGAUCUGGGCCAGUACUGACGCUGAGGAGCGAAAGCGUGGGGAGCAAACAGG
rnacentral:rRNA from 1 species